rnacentral:rRNA from 1 species
UACGUAGGCAGCGAGCGUUGUUCGGAAUUACUGGGCGUAAAGAGUGUGUAGGCGGUGCUCCAAGUCUGGUGUGAAAUCUCCCGGCUCAACUGGGAGGGUGCGCCGGAAACUGGAAUGCUAGAGGGUGGGAGAGGUAAGCGGAAUUCCUGGUGUAGCGGUGAAAUGCGUAGAGAUCAGGAAGAACAUCGGUGGCGAAGGCGCUCUGCUGGACCAUAACUGACACUCAGGGACGAAAGCUAGGGGAGCGAAUGGG